AAUAAAUCGUGCACGUGAAUCACAGAUAUAUAAACGUACGUUUUUACAUACCUGUGGGCUGUGAUAGACGCACAAAUUUAGUGCAUUCGCCAUUCGUGCAUUAAGGUUUUACGAGAAUUACGUACCUGAACUUCUGAAACCAGUGGAUAAUAUUCAAUAAUAGAAUAUCUUAGAGUUGGAGAAAACAGUAAACACAAAUCGACAAAUAUGGGAACCAUCAAAAACCAAAAGAAAGAUGCACAUGAAAUCAUGGAAACUAUUUCAUCUGAACACGUGAAAGAUGAUUUUGAUUUGUUUGGCGAACAGCUCGCAAACAAGUUAAGAGAAUUUGAUGAACAUACACGUGCAAUCGUUAUGAACGAAAUUAAUUAUAUUAUUUUUCUUGCUGAAUCAAAUUUGCUCUAAUGCAAUGUUCGUCAUUUUUGCCCACUUAAUUUAAAUACAUCAACAAUUCAAGGUCCCGACAAUAUUCUCAUAAUGCUCCUUGGUUUCUUCAGAGUAAUCUUCCUCACUUGUAAAUUUUCAUAAUGAACUCACCUAUAAAAUACCUGUCAUUAGUAAUAUGACAUUCAGCUUCACAAUAUUCUCUACCUAUCAAAGUAGUUAUUCUUUCCAUUCAUCGCUAAUCUGUUGUAUGUGACCAGUUAAUACAAUCAAGAAUACCAUAAAACCCUUGAAAUUGCUUCACAAUAAAAAAAUAUAAUUUAUUUUCUUAAAUAAUAACUGUUAAUAUAAUUUGUUAUUAUAACAUUAAAAAGAAGGAUAUGCCAAAGAGUUAUUGGUUAUAAGUAAUAAUGUUUAAUAUUGUUUUUCAAAAGAAUGAUUUUUAUUUUAACCACUUAAUAAUCAUGUAUACAUUAAUUUUAAACAUUUAUUUUUUGCCUAUAAAACUAUUUUAAAAAGAUAGUCCUUAGUAAUAUUUUGCUGUAUAAAUAUAUAAUUAAGUACAACCUUUUUAUUAAUUGUUUAGUUUUUUUUUUUUCAUGACCAUUAUACUAUUAAAAUAAGUACUUAUUUUAUUAAUUAAAAUUAUAUUUUGAAAUAUUUAGUUAUUAUUAAUUGAUGGCGUGCCUACACUAUUGAAACCUUUUUAAAAAAAUAAUUAAUUUGUGAUUAUUCUUAAAUAAUUGUGACAUUUAUUUUGGGCCUCUAUACAAAUUGUUCUCGCUAAUACCCAAUAUAAUAUAAUAAUAUAAUGCCUGUCAAGUGUAAGAAUUUAAAAUAUGUGAUAGAUUUAACUCGGUAAUCUUAAAUAAUUAUUUUUGAUAAUAUACGAGAUAAUAUGUUAUUUGAUAUAAUAUUCCAGUAAUUUUACUAUGCAUAUGAUGUUUCAUUCUUCAAAUAUCAAAAGAUUAAACAAUUGUUUAUAAAUAAUAUUUAUGCAGUAAAAAUGUACUACAAAGCUACUUAUUGUUAUUAUGUUAUAUUGCUACUUAGCAAUCUGUAUGGGUAAAUGUUAAUUACUUAAGUUAUAAUUUGGAAAUAUAUCAAUAGUUUUAUAAGUUA